CCUAGAAAUGUACCAAACAGAAGUAAGCAAAUGUAAACCACUGAGGGAAGAAUUCACUACCACGGCACAAAGCAAAGCACAAAGCUUUGUAAAUCUAUUCUCUUAAGGUUCUUCAAGCUUAGUUCAUAAGAUGGGCAGGGGAAAAACUAAUUCCCAUAAUUCUACUGGGAUCUAUAGCUUUCCAAUGCAACUGAGUGAGAUAAGUGGUUGGAAAAUUACCAGAAAUGAAAAGUAGUUAUGACCCAAAAGCACCAUUAUAAUUAUCCAUUGCCAUCCAGUGUUCUUGAUGAAGCAUGUCAACGACAGGUAUUCAGACCUGCUGUCUGAAACAGACGCUCAGCUGUUGUGAGCUUUGCCAGAAAGAUUUCAGUUCGGUGACAUCAUUGGCAAGUGAAUCCAAUUCUGCUGUGAAAAACCUGUCACUGCUGCUGCCUCUUUUACCAAUGAGCAUGACAGUGUUGCUAGGCAACAACAAGAGCCAACACCAGCGACGCCCUGUCUGGUGCUGUUAGCUUGAAAACUGAUCCCUCGAGGAAGAAUACAUCUUGAGCUGUUGAUCCUGUCGAUUCAGAGAGGCUGCCCCGCUGCGAUGCACCCGUGGAGACGGCUCAGUUAGCUGGCGAUGGAGGAGCCAAUACAAGAGCCUAUUGGAUGAAACACAACUGCACUUUGUUUGAAUUGGUCCUUUGUGAGAUUCUGCAGCAUGCUUUGAAUAAAAAGCAGGUUGUAUGUAAUUUAGUUCUGAUUAUAAAGGAAACAAAUAAUGAGAUAACAGGCUUAAUGAGGAAAUUAGGAUGUCUUUGAAAGAGACAACAUCAUAAAAGAUCCAGAAUACAAAAUCUAUGGACCUUUUUAAUGCACCAUUUUAAAGUAAGGAGGCGUCACUGUCCUAACUUUAAACCUUCUGACAUUGUAACUCCAGGCUUGCAACAAGUUCUGGAGAAGAUGAUAAUUUGGUUUAAUUUCAGUGUCAAAAUGAUCUACAAUAAAAAAUGAGAUUUUGUUGUAAUCCCCCUGCUGUCACGUCAAUCAGAUAGAACAGCAAAGUGCAUUC
ensembl:lncRNA